rnacentral:rRNA from 1 species
UACGUAGGGUGCGAGCGUUAAUCGGAAUUACUGGGCGUAAAGCGUGCGCAGGCGGUUUUGUAAGUCUGUCGUGAAAUCCCCGGGCUUAACCUGGGAAUUGCGAUGGAGACUGCAAGGCUAGAAUCUGGCAGAGGGGGGUAGAAUUCCACGUGUGAGCAGUGAAAUGCGUAGAGAUGUGGAGGAAUACCGAUGGCGAAGGCAGCCUCCUGGGCCAACACUGACGCUCAUGCACGAAAGCGUGGGAGCAAACAGG